GGAGCAGGGGAGGCACGUUUAGAGCGAAAUUCAUGCAUUGGCCGUGUGGGAAAGCGCGACUUUGAGUAUUAAUUAGGCGCGUGCAGAAGCUUAUUUAAUCGCAAACUAAGGCUCUUAAUGUUCGCUACCUCUCGUCCGAGGCACGCACUUCUAGCACGAAUUGGUGAUUUUUUAGGAUUUUUUGAAGGAACGUUGUCUAACCUGGAAGGCAGAUAGUAAACAAACGGGCGCGACGGGAUUUCUAGAUCGAAUUAAACGCACAUAGCAGUUAUUCAUUCGUUGUUCCACGCAAGAAAUGCGUGUACAUGACGCUGGGAAUAAGAGAAAUUUUAGAAGCGAAUACUUUUUUUUUUAAUCAAUAUUUGUUACGCGAAGAAGAGAUUUCGAAGCGCGGCCGAGCGCUUUAUAGUCCGGACUCCUAUUCAAACCACGAGAGAGAGAGAUAGAAGCAUUCUCAAAUACCUUUCCUUGCAUGGUGUCUAGCGGUCCAGAUGUUAUCCAAAGUCCAGAGUAAUCCAAAGUUCACCAGGAAAGUGCACACACACACACACGUUCACGGAAGCGUCCACGUUGAGACGGGGCACGGCCGUUUUGAAAUCACCCGAGACUGGGGUAGAAGCAUCAAAUCGUAGAAGGGACAGAAAAUAGACAUUUUCUGUCCCUUCUACUAUUUCAAGCUUCUUCUCUACCCCAGUCUCGGGCUAUUUCAACGUUGUUAACAUUCACCAGCUCGCCCGCGCACCCUCUUCUCUUGACUCGCAACGAAGCGCACACACAGACGUGGAUUUGGGCGGCCGUUUGUGAAGUUGGGCGACUGAGGUAGGGACUAGCGGCAGAGAGAGGAUUUCUGGAAUAGAAAAGAAAAGUGUUGUCAUUUCAACAAAGGGUACAAUAGAUAUUUUUGUUUUUAGAUUCGGUCGGUUUUAAUUAAAGAGUUGUAAUUCUAGGCUCUAGUUGAAAAAGGUCGACACAGAACGUAAUAGCACCCUGGGUACCGUUACGACGUGCGUCGACAUUUUUGCGCGGGUUUUGACCGUUAGGGGUUUGGAGAAGGUAUCAUCAUCAUGAUCCAGGGUUUCGGUUUGGGUUCUGUGUGUUUUCUCACUCCAGGUCACGUGAUGUUUUUGUCGGAGCAAGGAUGAGUCACCCUCGCCUCAACGGCGCCUGGCUGUUGCUGUGCGUGUUCUGUCUGGGCCCGGGCUCACUUUCAGAAGGAGCCGAGAACGGAAGAAGGUCGGAUUACCGUAACUCGAGAAGCGCAAGAGCGAGUUGCACGGCUGGCCCUCCGUUUCAAGUGACCUCCUUCAGCUGCGGAUGACCUGUGCUUAAUCAAGACCGCUUGAAUGGCAACUGAGAACUUGCUCCAAGCAAAAAGUGUUUUUAUGAAAUCGUGUUAGCUCGUGCGAAUUCACUGAAUAGGAACAAGUGUGUUUUCAUCGAGACAGCUCGUCCGGAAACUUGCAUUGUCGGCCUAAUAAAGUUUGACGUCAAGCCUAAUAAAACGUGAGGUUAAAACGGAGAAA